rnacentral:rRNA from 1 species
GACGAACGCUGGCGGCGUGCCUAACACAUGCAAGUCGAACGGGACUUGAGGGGCUUGCUCCUUAAGUUUAGUGGCGAACGGGUGAGUAACGCGUGAGGAACCUGCCUUUCAGUGGGGGACAACAGUUGGAAACGACUGCUAAUACCGCAUAACAUAAUCGAACCGCAUGAUUUGAUUAUCAAAGCUUCAUGUGCUGAAAGAUGGCCUCGCGUCUGAUUAGCUAGUUGGAGGGGUAACGGCCCACCAAGGCGACGAUCAGUAGCCGGUCUGAGAGGAUGAACGGCAACAUUGGGAGUGAGAUACGGCCCAGACUCCUACGGGAGGCAGCAGUGGGGAAUAUUGGGCAAUGGGGGAAACCCUGACCCAGCAACGCCGCGUGAAGGAAGAAGGCUUUCGGGUUGUAAACUUCUUUUACCAGGGACGAAGAACGUGACGGUACCUGGAGAAAAAGCAACGGCUAACUACGUGCCAGCAGCCGCCGUAAUAC